GAUUUCAAUUGAAAAGGUCAUCAACAACAAAAAUGUAUAACUCAUCAAGAUCUAUAACUUUUAUUUUGAUCAUUUGUUCAUCCGACAAAUUAAUAGUAACAUUGUUACAAAAUUCACUUAUCUCUCAUCUCGUUUAUAAACUAUAAGACAUAUAUGUCUAUUUUAUGAACAAUGUAACUAACACUUUGUCGGAUGAAGAAAUGACAAAUAUAAAAAUUAUAGAUCUUGAUGAGUUAUACAACUUUGUUGUUGAUGACUUUUUUAGUUGAAAUC
rnacentral:pre_miRNA from 1 species